rnacentral:rRNA from 1 species
GUGGGGAAUAUUGGGCAAUGGGCGAAAGCCUGACCCAGCAACGCCACGUGAAGGAAGAAGGUCUUCGGAUCGUAAACUUCUAUCCUUGGUGAAGAUAAUGACGGUAGCCGAGAAGGAAGCCCCGGCUAACUACGUGCCAGCAGCCGCGGUAAUACGUAGGGGGCAAGCGUUGUCCGGAAUGAUUGGGCGUAAAGGGCGCGUAGGCGGCCUGGUAAGUCUGGAGUGAAAGUCCUGCUUUUAAGGUGGGAAUUGCUUUGGAUACUGUCGGGCUUGAGUGCAGGAGAGGUAAGUGGAAUUCCCGGUGUAGCGGUGAAAUGCGUAGAGAUCGGGAGGAACACCAGUGGCGAAGGCGACUUACUGGACUGUAACUGACGCUGAGGCGCGAAAGUGUGGGGAGCAAACAGGAUUAGAUACCCUGGUAGUCC